AACCGAUUUGCUUCCUCCGGUGCGUGGCUGCGGGGUUGCACCUGUGAAGCGAAGACAACCUGCUAGGACCCUGAUAGGCGUACACCUCUCACUCCCACUCACGCGCCGACGACAUGGGCUUGUCUCCGUUACUCAUCCAAGUUUGUCUUGAGACUGGGCUGUGAGCCGGCACUGCAGUGAAACGCCGCAGAUGAGGAAGUGCCCAAGUCUUCCUUCGGGAAGUUCUCGUUUAGAGGAGUCAGGAGAAAAAGUCAUUGUUAUAUCCCAACUUUAGAAGCCGCUUAUCUUGGUACCGUUCUGAGGUUCUAGAAAGCAAGUAACUUAUAUCAGUUUACUAAGUGUGGGAAAGUGACCCAUAACUUCAAACAUCUGCCUCAGAGUAAACCUGAGGCAUUUGGGGACAAGUGUCAGACCCUCCGCUGCCUAUCAUGCACGGCAGAGCUUACCUCUUGCUGCACAGAGACUUCUGUGAUCUCAAGGAGAACAAUUAUAAGGGUAUCACUGCUAAGCCUGUAAGUGAAGAUAUGAUGGAAUGGGAAGUUGAAAUUGAAGGUCUACAGAAUUCAGUUUGGCAGGGUUUAGUCUUCCAACUGACAAUACAUUUUACAUCGGAGUACAACUAUGCUCCUCCAGUUGUGAAAUUUAUAACAAUUCCGUUUCAUCCAAAUGUAGACCCACACACUGGUCAGCCCUGUAUAGACUUUUUGGACAACCCUGAGAAGUGGAAUACAAACUAUACAUUGAGCAGCAUCUUACUUGCCCUACAGGUUAUGCUUUCUAAUCCAGUGCUAGAGAAUCCAGUGAAUUUGGAAGCAGCCAGAAUACUGGUUAAAGAUGAAUCUCUGUACAGAACAAUUCUAAGACUUUUCAACAGGCCAUUACAAAAUCAUCAAAGAUCUCAAGCUCCGUAUCUUUAAAUAUUAUGGUCAUAUGCAUGGAUGGUGCCAAAUGAAACUAGUCCACCCAUCAUAAAGUGAAAGAUGACAGCCAGGAGUUACCUAAAGACCCACGUAAAUGUAUCAGACCAAUUAAAACAACCUCAUUUAGUGAUUACUACCAGACAUGGUCCAGAAUAGCUACAUCAAAAGCCACAGAAUACUACAGAACUCCAUGUAAGUGCUCAAAGUUCCAAAUUUCAUUGGACAGUAUUACAAAUGGAAGAAAAUGGAUCUACAGCAUCAGAAAGAAUGGAAUUUAAAAUGAAAAAUCUUUCUUUGGAAGCAGCAUAGGGGAAGAGCAUGAGCUUCAGAGUCAAACAGAUGUUGGAGAAAUUCUUAACCACUCUGAACUUGUUUUUUUAUCUGUUAAAUGGAGAUAACCUUACCUAUCUUGCAAAGUUGUUUUGCAUUUGACGCUUAUUAUUUUAUAUAUAUGAUUUCAUUCGAGAUAUAAAUAAAAAUUAUAUAAAAAUGUGUAUAUUAUAUAUCUGUUACAUAUAUAAAAUAAAAAUUAAUAUAGCAUCACACAUAGGCAUUCAAUAAAUUUUAGUUCCUGGGGAGAGGAGGAGAUGAAAGUUCAUGCCACCCUACUUUUCAGAGAAUAAAAACAAUCUGUUGGAAACAUGUAAAAUUUGUCUUUUCUCAGGUUAGAAAACAACACCUAUCAUAACUACAUUUAUUGUAGUUCCUAUAUGCCUCUGGUUCCUUUUCCUUCUCUACUCCACCUCCAUCAUUUCUUCUGCCUGGUGAAGUGCUUCACAAAGAUGUUGUGAAGAGCUGGCCCAAAUGUCUUUUUGUAGAGACAGUCACUGACAAGCUCAGGCAUUCACAGUUACCCCAUCCUCUCUCUCCAUAUUCUCUGUUCCCAUGUCUUUCAGCAUGUGUGAUGUGGAAAUUCAUCUGUUCAUGAAGAGGGACCAGGGCAGGGAUGUUUGUGUCCCUUUGCAUUCUCUGUACCUAGCAUGGUGCCUGGCAAAUAGUAGGCACUCAAUUAAUGUUAGUUGAAAAACGCAUCCUCACCCUGUUUUCUCAAUUAGUAUUAGGAUUAAAUGUGAAGAAAGUUCAUUUUAGAAAAAUAAAAUUGAGUUGCAAACUUUUAAGGUUCAUUCUAAUGUAAAGAUUUAGGAUUCUAUUUUGGGAGUUCUAAGGUGUAGUUGGAAACAGUGAUUGAAAACUGGAAAUGUAAAUGGCUUUCAUGAAUAUUUUAUGCAAAAUCUCUAAUUUGGCAAGUCUUUGUUACUAUUAAUAGAAACAUUGUCAUUAUAAGCAGCUCAUAAAUAUUCAUUAAUCAAUUAUUUGGUUUGGUGUUCCUUUCUAAAGCCUUUUUUCUUUCCUAUUGGCUUGAGUGUCUUUUGUAUUCAUGAAAGUGCUUUCUUUCCGUUAAAGGAUACGAAUCUGUAAUCUAAUCAGUAGUUUGUAUUUAAGUUCUCCAGAGAAAUAGUAAAAGAUAUAAAAUCAGAAAGCAAUGAAAGCUGUUCUUUCGAGUGUUCUUGGUUGUGCACAUAUAAAACUAUGUUUGUGCCAUACUCUAGCUAAUGAUUGCUUCUGUGACAACAGAAAAAUCUUUAUCAGUAUUCUAAGCUUUGGCAGCUAGCAAGUUGUCUAAAUAAAACUUAUCAGUCCUGGUGGUGGUUUACAUUCGGUGUAGCUUUAGAAAAGAAUAUUGCUUCUUGUUUAUACCGAGUAGGUAUAGAGGGAACCGGAACUAACAUGGCUGAGUACUUCCUGUAUGCCCGGCGUUCUCCCUUCAUUUCCUAAUUCAUGUUGGCCAUCCUGUGGAGUUGACAGUCACACGUGUAAGUGUAACCCACAAUAAUACCCAUCAGCCUCCUUCAAAGCCACAACAAAUCAACCUGUACUCCAAGUCAGACCACUUUGCUUGCCUUGUUGACAGCCCAAGACCUGAUUCCUAACCUCCUUUUCAAUGGAUAACCGCUCCUAAGACCCAUCCCCCAACCCCUGACGCCCCAGACAUUCCGUAAAGGUGGAGAUGGAUAUUAUCUCUAGUUUACCAGUGAGAGAAAUGGAGGCACAGAGAUUAGCGAGUUUUCCUGAGGUUACUGAUAAACAUAAAUUUUAUUUGCAAAUUAAAACUAAACUGUUUCUUUCUUGCCUACUAAUAUGUACUUAAUAAAAGUUUAAAUUGUUCAGGUAAGUGUAAAAAUAUUGCCUAUCCAAUCGCAAGCACAAUCAAGUGUACAUUUUGUGAAAAAGUUGUGUUUUUUCUCAAUAUUAAAUUCUAUUAUUAAACAAUGUUAGUUCUUUUUUUUCUUAUAUGUAAAAAAAGAACAUCUGUGCAAUAUCAAAUACCAAUAAAAAAACUUUCUUAUAUCUGUAAAUCCCACUCUGGACUUAGUUGUCCUGUCUUUUAAAUUAAGAGACUAAUACAUAUUUUUUCUACAUUUC